ACAACAGUAUUCCUAACCCUGCUCCAGCCACAUCUACUGAAACACCUAUGGAUUUAGGGGUAUUACGUGGACCCCUAACUCAAGAGGAGAAGAAUAGAAGGAGAUUGAAUCAUCUCUGCAUGUAUUGUGGUUCUAAAGAACAUAUUCUGAGAGACUGCCCUAAUCUUCUAAAACAGAAGUCAGUGGGAUCAAAGACGACUGAAUAUUGAGGCCAUCGUGGAUACUGGGGCAACUGGUUGUUAUAUAGACAUAAGUUUAAUUGAAAAAAAUAAAAUACCACAUAUAGCAAAAGAAAAA